CCCGUCUCGCCCUGCCACCACCCUGUGAGGAUACCGUGAAAAGGCAGCUAUCAGAAAACCAGGAAGAGUGCCCUCAUCAAGCCCUCAACCAUACUGGCCUCCUGAUCUCAAGACUACCAGACUCCAGAAAUGUGAAAGUUUUCACUUUAUUGUUUAGAAUUCGUGGAUUUAAAUGGCAUCAUGAAGUUAAAGAAUGUGCUGCUUCCUAGUGAGGAAUUAUUCAAAGACAACCUGAAUAUAUUCAUUAGAUGAGGAAACUGAAACACACAGAGGUUAAGAAGCUUCUUCAAGAUUGUUAAAAAGUCUUCAGGGUUUAUAUUUUAUACAACACUAUUCGACAAGAAAACCAACGCUCCCAACCACUAAUCUAUGGUGCAAAUUGGAGAGAAAAAAAAAAAGGUUAAUGGUAAGUUGAUGUAUAACUUAUACCCCAAAGGAGGUCCAAGUGAAUACAUCAUCUGAACGUCCUCCCCUAAGAGUCUUUGUAAACAUGCUAAUGGCAUAGAUAACAGAAAGUUUCUAUAUGUAAAAGGAUUUGGGUAAAACAUACCAAAUGUGUCCAAAUUCUUUAUUGUAAAUAAGUCUGGAAUAUGAAUAUAUGGGGCACAGCAGUUUGAAAAAAUAAGUUAGUCAUGUAAGCAAUUUUCUGUCUGUGCAGUGGACAGUAAAAACACCAAAAAGGCAGAAUAAUAUUUCUAUAUAUGUUACACAAAUUCUCAACUUGUCUGUUAUUCAAAAACCAAAAUACACUUGGUGCAGAAGAGAAAGGGUAUUUCCAAGGAGCCGUGGAUGACCGUUUUACACUCCUUAAGAAAAUAAAUGUUUUAUUUAUGGCAAUUUUCCUAUAUUGUUUGAGUCAUUAGCAGGUUGGGUAUGGGCAAGAUUUGUGAUUCCUGUGGUUUGAUUUGAUAUCUGAAGUAGCCUUGGAAGCACAUAUGAGACAACCUCAGUUGUGCCUGAAGCAGAUUUACAAAUAACUUCACAGAUUCAUGGCUAUUUAUUAGAUUGUGAAGCAUGAGUACAGUUUGCCAACUAAGGAAGCAGAUAUGGAGUGCAGGUGGUAGGGAAAACCAUGGUAAAGAAUCCUUGAUUAUUUGUGAUGAAAUAAUACAAUACAACUUCAAAUAAAAACAUGCUUAAUAGUCUUUUUCUUUCCAAAAAAAAAUAUGUUUCUAAGUGAUAAAGAUGGAUGGUUCUCUCAGGUUGAAAUAUUCAUCCAUGGAAAUAAUUUGUAAACAUGAUCAAGGUCUAAAUGUAAAACAAAAUAAAAUUAAGUGAUGACCUCAAUAGCACUUAUAAUUCAUCACCAUUACAAUUAUUAUGUGCUGUGGUUUGAAUGUGUCACCCAAAAUUUUAUGUGUUGGAAACUUUGCCAUUUUAAUAGUAUUAAGAUGUGGGGUCUUAGAGGUAAUUUGACCAUGAGGGCUAUGACCUAAUAAAUGGAUUAAUGUCAUUAUCACGGGAGUAAGUGAGUUCUCACAGGAGUAUGCUCCUGAUAAGCCUGGCCCUGUUCCUCUCUCUCUCUCUCUCUGUCUCUGUCUCUGUCUCUCUCUCUUCCUCUCUCAUUUCCUCUCUCUCUCUCUCUCUCUCUCGCGGGCAUGUGCCCAUGCUUCCUCACCAUGUGAUGUCUUCUGCCAUGGGAUUACACUGUCCAGCUGCUGGUGCUAUUUUUUUGGAGUGAGACAAAUUAACUUCUGUUCUUUGUAAACUACCCAGUGUGUGGUAUUUUCUUAUAGUAGCUGAACUUGGACUUGAACACCAGUUUAACUAAUAUUAAUUACAUAACACUUAAUCUUUAAAAUAUUUAUGUGCAUUUGUGAUACUUUUAGACUGUAUUUUACAAGUGAAAGAGAAAGUCAUUUAAUAGAAUCAAACAUCCAUUAAAGGCAAAAACUAUUCACACUAUCAACAGAAAAGAACGUUCUCAAACUCAAAGUCUAGCUACAAAACAAAACAAAACUUACAGCUAACAUCUUAAUAGUGGAACAUGAAAACAAUAUCCUUGAGCAUGGAAUGUUUUUCCAUUUGUUUGUGUCAUUUCUGAUUUCUUGGAGUAGUGUUUUGUAGUUCUCCUUGUGGAGGUCUUUCAUCUCCCUGGUUAGCUGUAUUCCUAGGUGUUAUUAUUUUGUAGCAAUUGUGAAUUGGAUUGGAUUCCUGAUUUGGCUCUCGGCUUGACUGUUGUUGGUGUAGAGGAGUGUAGUGAUUUUUGCAUAUUGAUUUUGGAUCCUGAGACUUUGCUGCAGUUGUUUAUCAGCUUAAAGAGUUUGUGGGCUGAGACUCUGGAAUUUUCUAGAUAUAGGAUCAUGUCAUCUACAAGCAGGGAUAGUUUGACUUCUCUUCCUAUUUGAAUGUCCUUUAUUUCUUUCUCUUGCCUGAUUGCCUGGCCAGGACUUCCAAUACUAUGUUGAAUAGGAGCAAUAAGAGAGGACAUCCUUGUCUUGUGCUGGUUUUCAAGGGGAAUGCUUCCAGCUUUUACCCACUCAGUAAGAUGUUGGCUGUGGGUUUGUCAUAGAUAGCUCCUAUUAUUUUGAGGUAUGUUUCUCCUAUACAUAGAUUGCCGAGAGUUUUUAACAUUCAGGUGUUUAAUUUUAUCAAAAGCAAUUUUUAUAUCUAUUGAGAUAAUCAUGUGGUUUUUGUCUUUAGUUCUAUUCAUGUGGUGAAUCACAUUUAUUGAUUUGUGUAUGUGGAACCAAACUUCCAUCCUAGGGAUAAAUCCUACUUCACUGUGGUGGAUGCUUUUUGGUGUGCUGCUGGAUUCAGUGUGCCAGAAUGUUGUUGAGAAUUUUUGCACCACUGUUCAUCAGGAUAUUGGCCUGAAGUUUUCUCUUUGUUUGUGUCUUUGCCAGGUUUGGGUAUCAGGAUGAUGUUGGCCUCAAAGAAUGAGUUAGGGAGGAAUUCCUCCUCAAUUUUUGGGAUAGUUCAGCAGGAAUGGUACCAGCUCUUUCUUGUACAUCUAGUAGAAUUCAGCUGUGAAUCUGUGUGGUCCUGGGCUUUUUCAGAGCCCAUUAUUGGUCUGUCUAAGAAUUCAAUUUCUUCCUGGUUCAGUCUUGGAAGGGUGUCCAGAAUUCUUUUCAUUUCUCCUAGCUUUUCUAGUUUAUGUGCAUAGAGGUGUUUGUAAUAUUCUCUGAUGAUUAUUUGUAUUUCUGAGGGUCAAUAGUAAUAUCCGACUUGUCAUUUCUGAUUGUGUUUAUUUGGUAUUUGGAUCUUCUCUAUUUUCUUCUUUAUUGGUCUAGAUAGUGGCAUAUCUUUU
rnacentral:lncRNA from 10 species